GACGAACGCUGGCGGCGUGCUUAACACAUGCAAGUCGAACGGAAAGACCCUGCUUUUGUGGGGUGCUCGAGUGGCGAACGGGUGAGUAACACGUGAGUAACCUGCCCUUGACUUUGGGAUAACUUCAGGAAACUGGGGCUAAUACCAGAUAGGAGCUCCUGCUGCAUGGUGGGGGUUGGAAAGUUUCGGCGGUUGGGGAUGGACUCGCGGCUUAUCAGCUUGUUGGUGGGGUAGUGGCUUACCAAGGCUUUGACGGGUAGCCGGCCUGAGAGGGUGACCGGCCACAUUGGGACUGAGAUACGGCCCAGACUCCUACGGGAGGCAGCAGUGGGGAAUAUUGCACAAUGGGCGGAAGCCUGAUGCAGCAACGCCGCGUGCGGGAUGACGGCCUUCGGGUUGUAAACCGCUUUCGCCUGUGAGGAAGCGUGAGUGACGGUAAUGGGUAAAGAAGCACCGGCUAACUACGUG
rnacentral:rRNA from 1 species